rnacentral:rRNA from 1 species
AGAGUUUGAUCCUGGCUCAGGAUGAACGCUGGCGGCGUGCCUUAGGCAUGCAAGUCGAACGGGUCCGAUUCGUCGGACUAGUGGCAGACGGGUGAGUAACGCGUAGGAAUCUACCUUAAAGACAAGAAUAAUCCGCCGAAAGGCGGACUAAUACUGGAUAGUCUCCGGUGUCAAAACCGGAGUAAAGGGUGUAACUACCCGCUUUAAGAGGAGCCUGCGUCCUAUCAGCUUGUUGGUAAGGUAAUGGCUUACCAAGGCUAUGACGGGUAGGGGGCGUGAGAGCGCGGCCCCCCACAAUGUUACUGAAACACGGAGCAUACAUCUACGGAUGGCAGCAACCGGGAAUAUUGCACAAUGGGCGAAAGCCUGAUGCAGCGACGCCGCGUGGAGGAAGACGCCUUAUGGGGUGUAAACUCCUUUUUUAAGGGAAGAAGUUCUGACGGUACCUUAAGAAUAAGGACUUGCUAACUACGUGCCAGCAGCAGCGGUAAUACGUAGAGUCCAAGCGUUAUCCGGAAUUACUGGGCGUAAAGAGUUCGUAGGCGGUGGUUCAAGUAUGUCGUUAAAGCCCGAGGCUCAACUUCGGAAAGGCGAUGUAAACUGUUCCACUUGAGUGUGUUCGGGAGUGCUGGAAUUCAUGGUGGAGGGGUGAAAUCCGUUGAUAUCAUGAAGAACACCGAGGGCGAAGGCAGGCACUUAGGACACUACUGACGCUGAGGAACGAAAGCUAGGGGAGCGAAAGGGAUUAGAGACCCCUGUAGUCCUAGCCGUAAACGAUCCUUACUAGUUGUCCGUUCCGCUGAAAGUCGAGUAUGAGACUCGGUCUUUAGCGGAAUGGGUGACGCAAGCUAACGCGUUAAGUAAGGCGCCUGGGGAGUACGAUCGCAAGAUUAAAACUCAAAGGAAUUGACGGGAAUUUGCACAACCAGUGGAGCAUGUGGUUUAAUUCGAAACAAAGCGAAGAACCUUACCUAGACUUGACAUGAUACUGCACUCCCGGUGAAAGCCGGGAUCUUUCGAAGGUGUAUCACAGGUGAUGCAUGGCCGUCGUCAGCUCGUGCUGUGAGGCGUCCGCUUAAGUGCGGUAACGAGCGCAACCCUUAUCGUGUGUUGUAUUUCACACGAGACUGCCGUGCUGCAAGCGCGGAGGAAGGAGAGGACGACGUCAGGUCAGCAUGUCCCUUACGUCUAGGGCUACACACAUCCUACAAUGGGGAGGACAACGGGUCGCGAAGCCGCGAGGCUGAGCCAAUCCUCUAAACCUCCUCUCAGUUCGGAUUGCAGGCUACAAUUUGCCUGCAUGAAGUCGGAAUUGGUAGUAAUCGUGGGUCAGCAGACCGCGGUGAAUACGUUCUCAAAUUUUGUACACACUGCCCGUCAAGCCAGCGAAGCUGGCAGCGCCCGAAGCACUCCGUUUACGGAGUACUAAGGCGAGGUCAGUGACGAGGACUAAGUCGUAACAAGGUAACC